UAGGGAAUCUUCCGCAAUGGACGCAAGUCUGACGGAGCAACGCCGCGUGAGUGAAGAAGGAUUUCGGUUCGUAAAACUCUGUUGUUAGAGAAGAACAGCGCAUAGAGUAACUGUUAUGCGUGUGACGGUAUCUAACCAGAAAGCCACGGCUAACUACGUGCCAGCAGCCGCGGUAAUACGUAGGUGGCAAGCGUUGUCCGGAUUUAUUGGGCGUAAAGCGAGCGCAGGCGGUCAAUUAAGUCUGAUGUGAAAGCCCCCGGCUCAACCGGGGAGGGUCAUUGGAAACUGGUUGACUUGAGUGCAGAAGAGUAGAGUGGAAUUCCAUGUGUAACGGUGAAAUGCGUAGAUAUAUGGAGGAACACCAGUGGCGAAGGCGACUCUCUGGUCUGUAACUGACGCUGAGGCUCGAAAGCGUGGGUAGCAAACAGG
rnacentral:rRNA from 1 species